AAUGGGUCAGCGACUUAUAUUCUGUAGCAAGGUUAACCGUAUAGGGGAGCCGAAGGGAAACCGAGUCUUAACUGGGCGUUAAGUUGCAGGGUAUAGACCCGAAACCCGGUGAUCUAGCCAUGGGCAGGUUGAAGGUUGGGUAACACUAACUGGAGGACCGAACCGACUAAUGUUGAAAAAUUAGCGGAUGACCUGUGGCUGGGGGUGAAAGGCCAAUCAAACCGGGAGAUAGCUGGUUCUCCCCGAAAGCUAUUUAGGUAGCGCCUCGUGAACUCAUCUUCGGGGGUAGAGCACUGUUUCGGCUAGGGGGCCAUCCCGGCUUACCAACCCGAUGCAAACUACGAAUACCGAAGAAUGUUAUCACGGGAGACACACGGCGGGUGCUAACGUCCGUCGUGAAGAGGGAAACAACCCAGACCGCCAGCUAAGGUCCCAAAGUCAUGGUUAAGUGGGAAACGAUGUGGGAAGGCACAGACAGCCAGGAUGUUGGCUUAGAAGCAGCCAUCAUUUAAAGAAAGCGUAAUAGCUCACUGGUCGAGUCGGCCUGCGCGGAAGAUGUAACGGGGCUAAACCAUGCACCGAAGCUGCGGCAGCGACACUAUGUGUUGUUGGGUAGGGGAGCGUUCUGUAAGCCUGCGAAGGUGGCCUGUGAGGGUUGCUGGAGGUAUCAGAAGUGCGAAUGCUGACAUAAGUAACGAUAAAGCGGGUGAAAAGCCCGCUCGCCGGAAGACCAAGGGUUCCUGUCCAACGUUAAUCGGGGCAGGGUGAGUCGACCCCUAAGGCGAGGCCGAAAGGCGUAGUCGAUGGGAAACAGGUUAAUAUUCCUGUACUUGGUGUUACUGCGAAGGGGGGACGGAGAAGGCUAUGUCAGCCGGGCGACGGUUGUCCCGGUUUAAGCAUGUAGGCGGAGGUUCCAGGUAAAUCCGGUACCUUUUAACGCUGAGGUGUGAUGACGAGGCACUACGGUGCUGAAGUGAUAAAUGCCCUGCUUCCAGGAAAAGCCUCUAAGCAUCAGGUAACAUUAAAUCGUACCCCAAACCGACACAGGUGGUCAGGUAGAGAAUACCAAGGCGCUUGAGAGAACUCGGGUGAAGGAACUAGGCAAAAUGGUGCCGUAACUUCGGGAGAAGGCACGCUGAUAUGUAGGUGAAGCCCCUGCGGGUGGAGCUGAAAUCAGUCGAAGAUACCAGCUGGCUGCAACUGUUUAUUAAAAACACAGCACUGUGCAAACACGAAAGUGGACGUAUACGGUGUGACGCCUGCCCGGUGCCGGAAGGUUAAUUGAUGGGGUUAUCGCAAGAGAAGCUCCUGAUCGAAGCCCCGGUAAACGGCGGCCGUAACUAUAACGGUCCUAAGGUAGCGAAAUUCCUUGUCGGGUAAGUUCCGACCUGCACGAAUGGCAUAAUGAUGGCCAGGCUGUCUCCACCCGAGACUCAGUGAAAUUGAAAUCGCCGUGAAGAUGCGGUGUACCCGCGGCUAGACGGAAAGACCCCGUGAACCUUUACUAUAGCUUGACACUGAACAUUGAGCCUUGAUGUGUAGGAUAGGUGGGAGGCUUUGAAGCGUGGACGCCAGUCUGCGUGGAGCCAACCUUGAAAUACCACCCUUUAAUGUUUGAUGUUCUAACGUUGGCCCCUAAUCGGGGUUGCGGACAGUGUCUGGUGGGUAGUUUGACUGGGGCGGUCUCCUCCCAAAGAGUAACGGAGGAGCACGAAGGUUGGCUAAUCCUGGUCGGACAUCAGGAGGUUAGUGCAAUGGCAUAAGCCAGCUUGACUGCGAGCGUGACGGCGCGAGCAGGUGCGAAAGCAGGUCAUAGUGAUCCGGUGGUUCUGAAUGGAAGGGCCAUCGCUCAACGGAUAAAAGGUACUCCGGGGAUAACAGGCUGAUACCGCCCAAGAGUUCAUAUCGACGGCGGUGUUUGGCACCUCGAUGUCGGCUCAUCACAUCCUGGGGCUGAAGUAGGUCCCAAGGGUAUGGCUGUUCGCCAUUUAAAGUGGUACGCGAGCUGGGUUUAGAACGUCGUGAGACAGUUCGGUCCCUAUCUGCCGUGGGCGCUGGAGAAUUGAGGGGGGCUGCUCCUAGUACGAGAGGACCGGAGUGGACGCAUCACUGGUGUUCGGGUUGUCAUGCCAAUGGCACUGCCCGGUAGCUAAAUGCGGAAGAGAUAAGUGCUGAAAGCAUCUAAGCACGAAACUUGCCCCGAGAUGAGUUCUCCCUGAGACCUUGAGUCUCCUGAAGGAACGUUGAAGACGACGACGUUGAUAGGUCGGGUGUGUAAGCGCAGCGAUGCGUUGAGCUAACCGAUACUAAUGAACCGUGAGGCUUAACCUU
rnacentral:rRNA from 1 species